rnacentral:tRNA from 1 species
GGCCCCGUAGCUCAGGGGAUAGAGCAGCAGCCUUCUAAGCUGAAGGUCCUUGGUUCGAAUCCAAGCGGGGUCGCCA